rnacentral:rRNA from 1 species
GACGAAGGGGGCUAGCGUUGUUCGGAAUUACUGGGCGUAAAGCGUGCGCAGGCGGUUUCGUAAGUCUGUCGUGAAAUCCCCGGGCUUAACCUGGGAAUGGCGAUGGAGACUGCGAGGCUAGAGUUUGGCAGAGGGGGGUAGAAUUCCACGUGUAGCAGUGAAAUGCGUAGAGAUGUGGAGGAACACCGAUGGCGAAGGCAGCCCCCUGGGUCAAAACUGACGCUCAUGCACGAAAGCGUGGGGAGCAAACAGG